GGUCAAUAAUUUUUGUUUCGGUAAAGAUAUUUGAAUAAAACUUGUUAUGUAUGUAGCUUAUAUUAAGACAAAGGCUGGGAUUGAUUUUGGGGUUUCUGGGGUCAAGGUCAAGGUCACUGUUACUUAAAAUAGAAAAAAGGUUUCCGGUCAAUGACUUUUGUUUUGGUAAAGAUAUUUAAAUAAAACUUGGUAUGUAUGUAGCUUAUAUCAAGACAAAGGCUGGGAUUGAUUUUGGGGUUUCUUGGGUUAAGGUCAAGGUCACUAUUACUUAAAAUAGAAAAAGGGUUUCCGGUCAAUAACUUUACUUAGGAAUGAGCUAUCAUGAUGAAACUUCGUGUAUAGAAAACUUAUAUAAAGUUGUAGCUUGGGAUUGAUUUUGGGGUUUCUGGGAUCAAGGUCAAGGUCACUGUUACUUAAAAUAGAAAAAGGGUUUCCGGUCAAUAACUUAACUUAGGAAUGAGCUAUCAUGAUGAAACUCGGUGUAUAGAAAACUUAUAUAAAGUUGUAGCUUGGGAUUGAUUUUGGGGUUUCUGGGAUCAAGGUCAAGGUCAUUGUUACUAAAAAUAGGGUUAGGGUUAGCAUAUCUUCUACAUGCAUGGAGGGAUUUUGAUGAAAGUUGGCACAAUUGUUCACCAUCAUGAGACGGAGUGUCAUGCACAAGAACCAGGUCCCUAGGUCUAAGGUCAAGGUCACACUUAGAGGUCAAAGGAUACAAGAAUGAAAACUUUGUCCGGAGCAUAUCUUCUUCAUGCAUAGAGGGAUUUUGAUGUAACUUGGCACAAUUAUACACCAUGAUGAGACGAAGUGUCUUGCGCAGUUCCCUUCUAAAGAAUUACUUCCCUUUGUUGUUACUAUAAAUAGCUUAUAUUGUAACUUUUUCAUUACUAGACGUAGGGAAAAAUCGAGACCACUUUUCUGUAGUACAACAUGCAUGUUACAUCCAAUUUUGAGGUGUAUUUUGACCAAUCUCUACCUGGUAAGGAUUUCUGUGUGGACUUACAAUUUUUUUUUUUUAAUUUUUUUUUUUUUAAGAUUAACUUCCCUUAGUUGUUACUAUAAAUAACUUAUAUUGUAACUUUUUUAUAAUUGACCGUAGGGAAAAAUCAAGACCACUUUUCUGUGGUACAACAUAGUUGUUACUUUCUAAUUUAAGGUGUAUUUUAAGGUAUCUCUACCUGGUAAGGAGUUUUUUUGUAGACUUAGAAAAACAAAAGAAUUACAAUGAUUACUAAACAACCACAAAAUUAAAAUUACAUCUGCAAAUACAGGUGCUAGAGUAAAGAAAUUUGCUUUGACGGGCGUAUAUUGUGACAUUCUGGCAUUCUUGUUUAUUCUUAUGAAAAGUGUUGAAAACCUGGUUUCGUGGCAUUACAGCGUUUCUUGUUACUUAGUCUUGCAUUGUCAACAAGUAGCAUAUGACUGUACAGUAACAGGAAGUGGGGUCUAAAAACUAUUUUAUAUUCCUUUUUCCAAUUCUUCCUUUUAUUAAUUUGGCAGACCCCUUGUGACAAAAUUUGUUACUCAUGGUGCUUAUCAAAUACUUGUGAUAAAAAUCUUUAUAUAAUAUGUUGAUGUUACUUAAUUGUAAUGAACUAUUGUUAAAUAAAUUUAAGGAAUUUGUCGAGAUUAAAAGAAAUACAUGUCAGCAUACAUGUGAUCUCCCGCGCGGGAGGGUCAAAAUCCCGAUUUUUUAACCUUGCCUCCCGUCUCCCGACCAAAACCAUAUUUCUCCCGCUUUUCAAAAAAAAAAAAAAAAAAAAAAAAAAAAAAAAAAAAAAAAAAUCAGUAUUAUGACUGGGUUGAUAAUUACCAAGGAGUGCACAGUAAAUCAAAGUGUCACCUACUGUUGUGUAUUAUACAUGUUUGACACACAUGGAGCUGGAGGAAAGAGUUGUUUUUCACAGGUGAAUUAUUAAUUGUUUGUUUUGAUAAGGGAUUAGACAAGCAGGGCAUUUCCCACCUGUCUCACGGGGCCGAUUCUCAAUGCCAAUUAAGCUCCAUUUUUUACCAAUUUGAAGCAAAAAAAAACCCCAGUCAUAAGAAAAUAAUUCCCAACUGAAAUGAAUUUUGAUUAUUCAAAGAAAAAUUUUGCUCGGUAAUAAAAUCACAUAAGUAAUUGUUGGAAAAACGAACCCAUUACUAUUUUUAGAACAGGAGUGUUAAUUCCCCUUAUGGAGUUACGCCAUUUUCUUCCAAUGUUUACCAAAUUAAUUUUGCAACUAAAUCGGACAUAUUUCAUUGAAAACUGGAUGACAACACACACUCAUUUAUUUGAUAAUAUCAAUCUACAUUAUUUUGGUAAGGGUAAAUACAUGUUGAUGCAUUUCUGUUUUCUAUUUUUCAUGUCAAAAUCAUCAUUUUUAUACGAAAGUGGGUGGGGUAAAGAAUUUACAUAAUUUAUGAGUUGUGUUCAGACCAAUUUAGAGCUUCGUUUUUUUUUAAGUCCUCGAGUAGAAUAAUGUUAAUGCAUGUUCACCUUCAUUUCAGACCUAAAUUGAGACUUUGUUUCUACAAAUUUAAUCUGUUAAGAAAGUUAGAACAAGAGGGAGCUUCUGUAUGAUAGCAUGCUCGACUUUUUUCAGUGAUUGACUCUGAAUUAAAGCUUUGCCAGUAAAAGGGGCAAUUAAAGCUUUGCCAGUAAAAGGGGCAUAAUAGUCAAUAGCUUUGAAUGUAACAGAGAUAUUAGACAUUAUAUAAAACUUUAACAAAAAACAAUGAAGUUAAAAAGUGGCAUAACUCUGUCAAAAUUCAAAUCAAGAGUUAUGAGGAUUGUUUCUUCCGGUGUAGACUUAUAUACAUUAUUUUGUGGCUGAAAAUAUUGGAUUUUGCCUCUAAGUUAUGUGUCCGCGCGCUUAAUUUAUGUCGAUGAAAAACCUCCAGUUUUGAGACCCCAACUCCAGCUGAAAAAUGGCAAACCUCCAGUUUUGGGAUUCUAAACUUAUCACAUGUAUGCAUGUCAGAUCACUAAAUCAAAAACAUGACCAUUGCAUUUUCAAUUACCUUAUGACAUCAGUGCUAAAAACAAGAAAUAUUUAAAAUGAAGAGCAUUUUUUAUAAUUAAAUAAGCAAGGCCUUUGCAUUGUUUAUUGUGUGAUUUAUCAUAGUACAGAUGUAUAGGAGGUUAAAUAGCCAAGCACCUGAAUCAUGAACCAUGGUAAAAUCGGACAAUAAACCCUAAAUGUCUUGUUAGCUCACCUGAGCCAAAGGCUCAUGGUGAGCUUUUGUGACCGCUCAAUGUCCAUCGUGUGUCAUGUGACAUGUAUCGUGCGUUGUUCGUCCGUUAACAUUUUCUAAAAAAAUCUUCUUCGUGAAAACCACUGGGCAGAAUUACACCAAACUUCACAAUAAUGAUCCUUAGGUGGCCCCCUUUCAAAAUUGUUCAAAGAUUUGAAUUUCAUGCAGAACUCUGGUUGCCAUGGCAACCAAAAGGAAAAACGUUAAAAAUCUUGUCCAAAACUGCAAGGCAUAGCGCCUUGAUAUUUGGCAUGUGACAUCAUCUAAUGGUUCUCUAUGAAGAUUGUUCAAAUUGUGCCCCUUGGGUGAAAAGAGGCCCUGUCCCGGGGGUCAGAAGUUUUACAUACACUUAUAUAGGAAAAAAAUUUGAAAAUCUUCUUGUCUAAAACCACAUGACCUAGGCCUUUGAUAUUUGGUAUGUAGCAUUUCCUUGUGGUCCUCUACCAAAAUGGUUCGAAUUAUAACCCUGGGGUGAAAAGAGGCCCUGCCCGGGUGUCUCAAGUUCUAUUUAGAAUUAUAUAAGAAAAAACUUUAAAAAUCUUUUUGGCUGAAACUACAGGGCCUAUGCUUUUAAAUAUUUGGUGUGUUGCAUUGCCUUGUGGUCAUCUACCAAUUUUUUUUUUCAAAUUAUGCCCCUAGGGUGGAAAGAGGCCCUGCCCUUGGGGUCCCAAAUUUAACAUAGACUUAUAUAGGGAAAACAGUAUAAAAAUCUUCUUGUCUGAAAGUUCAAGGCCUAGUCCUUUGAUAUUUGUUAUGUAGCAUUGCCUAGUGGAUCUCUAACAAGAUUAUUCAAAUUAUGCCCCUGGGGUGAACAGAGGCUCCUCCCUGGGGCUCACUUGUUAUAUGAGUUAUAUAGGAAUAAAUACUUCAAAAAUUAUCAGAUCAUAUUUCCUAGACUGUUUAAUUAUAAUUACCUGACAGCCCCAAGCGAUUAGGGGUCACUUGACUUUGACCUUGACCUACUGACAUACUUUCUUGUUUUUUCAAGAUAAAGCCUUGAAAUUUGGAUGACAUGUACAGUUUUGUACACCGAUCUUAAAACUGACUUUCAGUGACCAUGAAUGUGCCCUACUGACCUACUUUCUAAUAUCUUAACAUCAGUUUGCCAUUUUAAACAUGUGGCUUAUUUUACUCAGGUGAGCAAUUCAGGGUCAUCAUGACCCUCUUGUUUAUAUUUAUUUAUAACAUGCUUAUUGAAAUAUUAUGAUAAACCUUACGAUUUUGUAAUUUCCUCAGAGGUACGGACAUCAACCAUUGUUUAUUGCAGAAUUUACAAUGCUCAACUUUUUCCUUUGUUUGACUGAAAGACAGAUCUUAGGAAAAUCAUGUAAAGUGAUUGCUUAUUUCCCUGUAUGCCUAUAAAUUGUAAGUUUUAUCAAAUUUAUAAUUAUCAAAAGGUCUUUAAUAUUUUAAUGUAGUAUUUGCUUGAAUCUCCAUUUAAUAAAUGUAGAUUUGCUGUGUUUUGAGAAUAAAUCAGAGUAAUGGUUAAACAAGAGAUAGCAUUAUAUUUAUGUACAUAAGCAGUUGAAACUCGGUAUCUUGAAUUCAAAGGGGUCUCUGGUGUUUUAUUUCAAGAUAGUCAGAAUUUGACACAAAUUUAAUACUUUGUAAACAUGACAGUCAUAUACAUUUAAUUUAUGUUUAUUUAUUUCAUGUUUGCAAGACAUGAUUGUGCCUUUAUGUAACAGGCAAUAUUUUUUUUAUGUGAACACAUUUUGACAUAAAUACAUAUGAAUUUGACUGAAGGGACUUCAAUUCACUUUGCCACAAGUAAAGUGGUAGUAUGCCAACUUUGACUGGAACAGAGUAAAAAUAAUCUAUAUUGAGGAUUUUUUUAUUUGAAAUAUAUUAAGUGGAAUUUCAAAGAAAUUGAGUUUGAUAUACUGUGUUCCAGCUGUAUACUAAAAAAUUGUUGAAUUCAUCACUAUAUGAGCAGUGCAUGCUGAGUGUUCUGUAAAAACAGCAAAAUAAACCAUGAUGAAUGUUUUUCAUCUGUUUUUGCAUUACCGGUAUGUCUCAGGCUGGCAGAUAUAGAUUUAUACUUUGGUAUGUUUACUGGACAUACUACCAGACAUAUUUUAUGAUGUCUUUUUUACAAGAUAUGUUGUAAUUUUCCUUGUUUUUUUUUUAUCAGUUAUAUGUGUUUUUGGAGAUUAAAACAUAAAAAAAUUA